rnacentral:rRNA from 1 species
AGUGAACGCUGGCGGUAGGCCUAACACAUGCAAGUCGAACGGCAGCACAGUAAGAGCUUGCUCUUACGGGUGGCGAGUGGCGGACGGGUGAGGAAUACAUCGGAAUCUACUUUUUCGUGGGGGAUAACGUAGGGAAACUUACGCUAAUACCGCAUACGACCUACGGGUGAAAGCAGGGGAUCUUCGGACCUUGCGCGAUUGAAUGAGCCGAUGUCGGAUUAGCUAGUUGGCGGGGUAAAGGCCCACCAUGGCGACGAUCCGUAGCUGGUCUGAGAGGAUGGUCAGCCACAAUGGAAGGGAGACACGGUCCAGACGCCUACGGGAGGCAGCAGUGGGGAAUAUUGGACAAUGGGCGCAAGCCUGAUCCAGCCAUACCGCGUGGGUGAAGAAGGCCUUCGGGUUGUAAAGCCCUUUUGUUGGGAAAGAAAAGCAGCAGGUUAAUACGCCGCUGUUCUGACGGUACCCAAAGAAUAAGCACCGGCUAACUUCGUG